CUGCUGGAGCAAUUUGCAGACGGUUCCUGCGCCUUUGAGGAGCAGCGAGCUCUAAAUAGAAACCAAUGCAAGUCUCCCAGCGCGGUGUUGGGCUCGGUUCGAGGAAAAUACGACUGUAGGUCACUGUCUGUCUUGCUGUGGUUGCAGAGAGGUGUCGGUUUUGUAGAAGCAAUGUUCCGCUGAUGAGUUUUUGAUCCAGAAAAGCCGAAUCUGUGAAUAUUUUUUUUUAACUGUACCGAAGUACACGACUUAUUAUGACUUUUACCCCCAGAGCACCAAAUUAUAAUCAUAAUACAAAAUUAGGAAUAUAAUAAAGUUGGCAACAAAAAGCUACCAGAGUAGAGACUGUAAGCCUGAAACAAACAGGAACAUGCAAAUAGAUUUAAUCCUUUUUUAGUUAAACCAGUUGAUUUUCUCUUACAGGAAGCUGUGGACUGAAUUUAUUUGCACUGAUCAGCAACAGGCAGGUAAAGCUGCUGCAGAGUGACUAAAGGUCAGGAGGUGUCUCAUUAUUACCCUGUUUAUUAUUUAUGCUUUAAGAAAUCUGACCAGGAGACUCUCUGACACCAUCAUAUGUUGGUAUGAUUGAUGCUACAUCUCUACCUGCUGGACACAAAGAGAUAAAACAACUGUUUCUUAUAAAUAGACACCUGAGAGUGAAAUAGCAGGUCGCUCCUGAGGUUUUCUGUUAACAGAACAUAUUGAAGAAGCAGGCAAGACUAAUUUAAUUUUCAGUCAGUCAGUCAUUUUCUACCGCUUAUUCCAUAGUGGGUCACGGGGGAGCU